CUAACUGACGUCUCCCGCGAGCGACUGCUCUGCCCCCACUUGGGAAGUCCAGGGAGGCGCUAGGCAGCCACCUCCGCUGCUCCCCCCAGCAGUAGGAGCAGCCGCUGCUCCACCGCGCGCUGAGUCUGGACUGCUCUCCGGGUCCCCUCGCCUGCAGAGAGAUGCCCGGGCUGUCGCUGCUGGGUAGCCGAGGAGGGUCACAUCGUAGAGUAGGGCGCACGGGUACGCAAAGGAGCUCGCCAAGGAGGCGUAGAGGGCGCAGCCCAACUCCGCUGGGGAGUAACCGGCUGUGGAGCACGCCCGCCCGCCUUAUGUAAGCAAGGAUUGGAGGGAGAUCAGCGCCCAGGGCGGAAGGUGGAGACCGGCUGUGGGUUUGCCCGCUGAAGCCGAGGCGAGAGAGACCAGGGAAAGAAGCGGCGGCAGAGAGUGGCAGCGCGCCUGCCUCCCGCGGUGCGCCAGACCCGGACGCCGGGAGUGCACAGGGCGCGCCCGGGCCACUUGGCUGUGGCCAGUGGAGCUCAGCCUGCUGCCUGCCACCUUCCUCACAGCGCCAGCAAAGCCUGAGCCGGAUUCCCUGGGACUGGACUCGCUGUACUUUGCGGUUGAUGAAGCCGGGUGCGGGCUCGAACUGAAGUCCUGCUUGGUUGGGGAGGAAGGCAAGAAGCUUCUGCAGUGCCCCAGCCCGGUGCUGCCUUGGGGUUGUCAGCGCCAGUUAGACUGCUUUAUGUUCUGAGCGCAUGUGACUCCUUUGCAGUGGAACAGAAACUAAAAGCUCGAUGAAAACUCA